rnacentral:piRNA from 1 species
UGAUUGAUCCCGCCUAGGCCCC